rnacentral:rRNA from 1 species
GACGAACGCUGGCGGCGUGCUUAACACAUGCAAGUCGAACGGAAAGGCCCUGCUUUUGUGGGGUGCUCGAGUGGCGAACGGGUGAGUAACACGUGAGUAACCUGCCCUUGACUUUGGGAUAACUUUAGGAAACUGGGGCUAAUACCGGAUAGGAGCUCCUGCUGCAUGGUGGGGGUUGGAAAGUUUCGGCGGUUGGGGAUGGACUCGCGGCUUAUCAGCUUGUUGGUGGGGUGGCUUACCAAGGCUUGGACGGGUAGCCGGCCUGAGAGGGUGACCGGCCACAUUGGGACUGAGAUACGGCCCAGACUCCUACGGGAGGCAGCAGUGGGGAAUAUUGCACAAUGGGCGGAAGCCUGAUGCAGCAACGCCGCGUGCGGGAUGACGGCCUUCGGGUUGUAAACCGCUUUCGCCUGUGACGAAGCGUGAGUGACGGUAAUGGGUAAAGAAGCACCGGCUAACUACGUG